AAGUCGUAACAAGGUCUCCGUAGGUGAACCUGCGGAGGGAUCAUUACACAAAUAUGAAGGCGGGCUGGAACCUCCCGGGGUUACAGCCUUGCUGAAUUAUUCACCCUUGUCUUUUGCGUACUUCUUGUUUCCUUGGUGGGUUCGCCCACCACUAGGACAGACAUAAACCUUUUGUAAUUGCAAUCAGCGUCAGUAACAAAUUAAUAAUUACAACUUUCAACAACGGAUCUCUUGGUUCUGGCAUCGAUGAAGAACGCAGCGAAAUGCGAUAAGUAGUGUGAAUUGCAGAAUUCAGUGAAUCAUCGAAUCUUUGAACGCACAUUGCGCCCUUUGGUAUUCCAAAGGGCAUGCCUGUUCGAGCGUCAUUUGUACCCUCAAGCUUUGCUUGGUGUUGGGCGUCUUGUCUCUAGCUUUGCUGGAGACUCGCCUUAAAGUAGUUGGCAGCCGGCCUACUGGUUUCGGAGCGCAGCACAAGUCGCACUCUCUAUCAGCAAAGGUCUAGCAUCCAUUAAGCCUUUUUUUCAACUUUUGACCUCGGAUCAGGUAGGGAUACCCGCUGAACUUAAGCAUAUCAAUAAGCGGAGGAAAAGAAACCAACAGGGAUUGCCCUAGUAACGGCGAGUGAAGCGGCAACAGCUCAAAUUUGAAAUCUGGCUCUUUUAGAGUCCGAGUUGUAAUUUGCAGAGGGCGCUUUGGCUUUGGCAGCGGUCCAAGUUCCUUGGAACAGGACGUCAUAGAGGGUGAGAAUCC
rnacentral:rRNA from 1 species